CAGCCGCCGCGGGAAUACGGAGGGUGCAAGCGUUAAUCGGAAUUACUGGGCGUAAAGCGCACGCAGGCGGUCUGACAAGUCAGAUGUGAAAUCCCCGGGCUUAACCUGGGAACUGCAUUUGAAACUGUCAGGCUGGAGUCUUGUAGAGGGGGGUAGAAUUCCAGGUGUAGCGGUGAAAUGCGUAGAGAUCUGGAGGAAUACCGGUGGCGAAGGCGGCCCCCUGGACAAAGACUGACGCUCAGGUGCGAAAGCGUGGGGAGCAAACAGGAUUAGAUACCCGCGUAGCCCUGUCUCUUAUACA
rnacentral:rRNA from 1 species